GUGACACCAUUUUGGAGGGAAAACAACCACACAAACUAAACAAUGCUGAGGCAGGGGAUCCAUUCACACGUUUAAAGCCACACGGAGGGGGUCUUGAGAGCUGUCAGGGGGCAUUUAGCUUGUGAUCUGCCCACAACAGUGAGAAUAAAUAAUGUCCUCCUCUUAAAAAAGGAGGGUGGAGAGGAGGUCCGGUCGUGCCUGAUUCAUGUCGUACACACUAGCAGGCCAUUACGCAUGGAGAAUUGAUUGCUGAAGCGCCGUGGCCGGUGUUGGAUCUUGAUGGUGCCGCUGAAAUGUCACCUUACUGAUGUUACAGUGCGGGAGAUAUUAAAGCCAGCCAUAUUCAAAGACUUCUGUUUGUUUCUGAUCCACUCCCACUGUGUGCUUGAGGACAGCGCUGAUCAUCUGAGUUUAUUUUUUUAUUUCUGAUGGCUGGUCUCUUAUCUGCUCAAGACAGUGGAGCAGCUUCUGUCCCCGCAUUGAACAUUUCCAAUCGGCCACUUGUAUCGUCCUCGUCUUUUAAAGUGGAAAUCCAAAUAUAGAGUAGUUUUGCUUUCUUCAUUUCUACUUUUGAAGACAUA